GAGGUGGCAAGCGUUGUUCGGAAUUACUGGGCGUAAAGGGCGCGUAGGCGGCCAUCUAAGUCAGACGUGAAAUCCCCCGGCUUAACCUGGGAACUGCGUCUGAUACUGGACGGCUCGAGUUUCGGGAGAGGGAUGUGGAAUUCCAGGUGUAGCGGUGAAAUGCGUAGAUAUCUGGAGGAACACCGGUGGCGAAGGCGGCAUCCUGGACCAACACUGACGCUGAGGCGCGAAAGCUAGGGGAGCAAACGGGAUUAGAUACCCCGGUAGUCCUAGCCCUAAACGAUGAAUGCUUGGUGUGGCGGGUAUCGAUCCCUGCCGUGCCGAAGCUAACGCAUUAAGCAUUCCGCCUGGGGAGUACGGUCGCAAGGCUG
rnacentral:rRNA from 1 species